rnacentral:rRNA from 1 species
UUAAGCGACUAAGCGUACACGGUGGAUGCCCUGGCAGUCAGAGGCGAUGAAGGACGUGCUAAUCUGCGAUAAGCGUCGGUGAGGUGAUAUGAACCGUUAUAACCGGCGAUUUCCGAAUGGGGAAACCCAGUGUGUUUCGACACACUAUCAUUAACUGAAUCCAUAGGUUAAUGAGGCGAACCGGGGGAACUGAAACAUCUAAGUACCCCGAGGAAAAGAAAUCAACCGAGAUUCCCCCAGUAGCGGCGAGCGAACGGGGAGGAGCCCAGAGCCUGAAUCAGUGUGUGUGUUAGUGGAAGCGUCUGGAAAGGCGCGCGAUACAGGGUGACAGCCCCGUACACAAAAAUGCACAUAUUGUGAGCUCGAUGAGUAGGGCGGGACACGUGGUAUCCUGUCUGAAUAUGGGGGGACCAUCCUCCAAGUCUAAAUACUCCUGACUGACCGAUAGUGAACCAGUACCGUGAGGGAAAGGCGAAAAGAACCCCGGCGAGGGGAGUGAAAAAGAACCUGAAACCGUGUACGUACAAGCAGUGGGAGCCUCUUUAUGGGGUGACUGCGUACCUUUUGUAUAAUGGGUCAGCGACUUAUAUUCUGUAGCAAGGUUAACCGAAUAGGGGAGCCGAAGGGAAACCGAGUCUUAACUGGGCGUUAAGUUGCAGGGUAUAGACCCGAAACCCGGUGAUCUAGCCAUGGGCAGGUUGAAGGUUGGGUAACACUAACUGGAGGACCGAACCGACUAAUGUUGAAAAAUUAGCGGAUGACUUGUGGCUGGGGGUGAAAGGCCAAUCAAACCGGGAGAUAGCUGGUUCUCCCCGAAAGCUAUUUAGGUAGCGCCUCGUGAAUUCAUCUCCGGGGGUAGAGCACUGUUUCGGCAAGGGGGUCAUCCCGACUUACCAACCCGAUGCAAACUGCGAAUACCGGAGAAUGUUAUCACGGGAGACACACGGCGGGUGCUAACGUCCGUCGUGAAGAGGGAAACAACCCAGACCGCCAGCUAAGGUCCCAAAGUCAUGGUUAAGUGGGAAACGAUGUGGGAAGGCCCAGACAGCCAGGAUGUUGGCUUAGAAGCAGCCAUCAUUUAAAGAAAGCGUAAUAGCUCACUGGUCGAGUCGGCCUGCGCGGAAGAUGUAACGGGGCUAAACCAUGCACCGAAGCUGCGGCAGCGACACUAUGUGUUGUUGGGUAGGGGAGCGUUCUGUAAGCCUGUGAAGGUGGCCUGUGAGGGUUGCUGGAGGUAUCAGAAGUGCGAAUGCUGACAUAAGUAACGAUAAAGCGGGUGAAAAGCCCGCUCGCCGGAAGACCAAGGGUUCCUGUCCAACGUUAAUCGGGGCAGGGUGAGUCGACCCCUAAGGCGAGGCCGAAAGGCGUAGUCGAUGGGAAACAGGUUAAUAUUCCUGUACUUGGUGUUACUGCGAAGGGGGGACGGAGAAGGCUAUGUUGGCCGGGCGACGGUUGUCCCGGUUUAAGCGUGUAGGCUGGUUUUCCAGGCAAAUCCGGAAAACCAAGGCUGAGGCGUGAUGACGAGGCACUACGGUGCUGAAGCGACAAAUGCCCUGCUUCCAGGAAAAGCCUCUAAGCAUCAGGUAACAUCAAAUCGUACCCCAAACCGACACAGGUGGUCAGGUAGAGAAUACCAAGGCGCUUGAGAGAACUCGGGUGAAGGAACUAGGCAAAAUGGUGCCGUAACUUCGGGAGAAGGCACGCUGAUAUGUAGGUGAAGCGACUUGCUCGUGGAGCUGAAAUCAGUCGAAGAUACCAGCUGGCUGCAACUGUUUAUUAAAAACACAGCACUGUGCAAACACGAAAGUGGACGUAUACGGUGUGACGCCUGCCCGGUGCCGGAAGGUUAAUUGAUGGGGUUAGCGGUAACGCGAAGCUCUUGAUCGAAGCCCCGGUAAACGGCGGCCGUAACUAUAACGGUCCUAAGGUAGCGAAAUUCCUUGUCGGGUAAGUUCCGACCUGCACGAAUGGCGUAAUGAUGGCCAGGCUGUCUCCACCCGAGACUCAGUGAAAUUGAACUCGCUGUGAAGAUGCAGUGUACCCGCGGCAAGACGGAAAGACCCCGUGAACCUUUACUAUAGCUUGACACUGAACAUUGAGCCUUGAUGUGUAGGAUAGGUGGGAGGCUUUGAAGUGUGGACGCCAGUCUGCAUGGAGCCGACCUUGAAAUACCACCCUUUAAUGUUUGAUGUUCUAACGUUGGCCCGUAAUCCGGGUUGCGGACAGUGUCUGGUGGGUAGUUUGACUGGGGCGGUCUCCUCCUAAAGAGUAACGGAGGAGCACGAAGGUUGGCUAAUCCUGGUCGGACAUCAGGAGGUUAGUGCAAUGGCAUAAGCCAGCUUGAUUGCGAGCGUGACGGCGCGAGCAGGUGCGAAAGCAGGUCAUAGUGAUCCGGUGGUUCUGAAUGGAAGGGCCAUCGCUCAACGGAUAAAAGGUACUCCGGGGAUAACAGGCUGAUACCGCCCAAGAGUUCAUAUCGACGGCGGUGUUUGGCACCUCGAUGUCGGCUCAUCACAUCCUGGGGCUGAAGUAGGUCCCAAGGGUAUGGCUGUUCGCCAUUUAAAGUGGUACGCGAGCUGGGUUUAGAACGUCGUGAGACAGUUCGGUCCCUAUCUGCCGUGGGCGCUGGAGAACUGAGGGGGGCUGCUCCUAGUACGAGAGGACCGGAGUGGACGCAUCACUGGUGUUCGGGUUGUCAUGCCAAUGGCACUGCCCGGUAGCUAAAUGCGGAAGAGAUAAGUGCUGAAAGCAUCUAAGCACGAAACUUGCCCCGAGAUGAGUUCUCCCUGAGUCUUUGAGAGUCCUGAAGGAACGUUGAAGACGACGACGUUGAUAGGCCGGGUGUGUAAGCGCAGCGAUGCGUUGAGCUAACCGGUACUAAUGAACCGUGAGGCUUAACCUU